rnacentral:tRNA from 1 species
GGCCUCGUAGCUCAGUUGGCGGAGCAUUGGACUAGUAUCCCAAAGGUCGCGGGUUCGAUACCCACCGUGGUCA